GACGAAGACUGCCUAACCUGGAGGUCGUCACUUGAGUGUGCGGUGUUUCCUUGCUUAAAGAUGAGCAGACAGUAAAUGGACCAAAGAGAUGGAAGUUUGGGUGGUGUUGAACAAGCCUCAGGAGCUCCUAUUUCACAGUUCCUACUUCCUUGGGCAGAGCAGACCCGGUAUCAGGCAGACUUUACCAGGUGUGACCGUCAAAUAAAGGGAUGGCAUAAAGCAUUUUGUUAACUCGAGUUAUUCUUUCAGGUAUCCAGGCUACAAGUAGGUCAGGGUUUCCCGUUUCUCUCUAGGCUGUAGGUAGUCAAUGUCUUAGUAAUUACUGAGUCAUGUUGAUCAAAGUUCAGCUGAAACUUUCCUGAUGACUAAGCAUACACAGCCUUGCCAGAGGACGGAGCAAGUGUGUUUAUACAAAAUGUCGGCCUUUUUCCUAAGCUCCUCUGAAUCCGCGCCAUGGGUGCUGAUGGAUCAGGUGCCGGGCUGGGAGCCAGAGCCCGGAUGCACAGAGCACUGCCCUGGGGAGAUCCAGGUGCUGAUUUCGCCUGGAGUCUUCAGACAUCAUGGCAUCACAAACCUUUUCCUUUGAAGUUUCGACCUGCCUAUCUUCCUUAUUUGAUUGGUGGUUUCACGAUGGAAACUAUCGUGAUUUAGAUGUCUAGUUAUUCCCCUACUGGGUCUGUCAUUGCCCUGCCUGCUUCCUCAAGAUAUGUCAGAUCGCUUCAGCUGACUUCCAGCUGCCAGAAUUGUAUGUCUGUGCUGAGAACUUUCCCCCAGAACAACAGAAGGCACACAGCAAACGGAAAUUGCCUGGCACACAAUCUAUUCCUCUCCCAGUAGUCUUCAACCAAUGAGUCUUAGGACGAGGUGUAUAAAUACCCCAGCUCUCUCCUCCCUCAGGUGGGAUAAUGCUGAAGUUCUGUGUUGCACUGUUUACCUGUGGGAUUAAGUUCCAGUCAUCCACACAGGUGUGCAUCUUAAAUAACACAUCCUACUGACUGCUUCCCAAUCCUUGUCUCACUUCUCCACUCCUCUGGGAGCAUCCAUGCCCCAGAAACUUUCUCUCAGGGUCUGCUGAGGGGUGUGUGUGUGUGUGUGUGAGACAGAGAGAGUCACUCAGUCAUGUCUGACUCUUGCAACCCCAUGGACUGUAG
rnacentral:lncRNA from 1 species